ACGGGUGAGUAAUAUAUCGGAACGUGCCCAGUCGUGGGGGAUAACGUAGAGAAAUUUACGCUAAUACCGCAUACGAUCUAAGGAUGAAAGCGGGGGAUCGCAAGACCUCGCGCGAUUGGAGCGGCUGAUAUCAGAUUAGGUUGUUGGUGAGGUAAAAGCUCACCAAGCCGACGAUCUGUAGCUGGUUUGAGAGAACGACCAGCCACACUGGGACUGAGACACGGCCCAGACUCCUACGGGAGGCAGCAGUGGGGAAUUUUGGACAAUGGGCGAAAGCCUGAUCCAGCAAUGCCGCGUGCAGGAAGAAGGCCUUCGGGUUGUAAACUGCUUUUGUACGGAACGAAAAAGCUCUUUCUAAUAAAGAGGGCUCAUGACGGUACCGUAAGAAUAAGCACCGGCUAACUACGUGCCAGCAGCCGCGGUAAUACGUAGGGUGCGAGCGUUAAUCGGAAUUACUGGGCGUAAAGCGUGCGCAGGCGGUUAUAUAAGACAGUUGUGAAAUCCCCGGGCUCAACCUGGGAAUUGCAUCUGUGACUGUAUAGCUAGAGUACGGUAGAGGGGGAUGGAAUUCCGCGUGUAGCAGUGAAAUG
rnacentral:rRNA from 1 species